CAGUCGCCGCGGUAAUACGGAGGGAGCUAGCGUUGUUCGGAAUUACUGGGCGUAAAGCGCACGUAGGCGGCUUUGUAAGUUAGAGGUGAAAGCCUGGAGCUCAACUCCAGAAUUGCCUUUAAGACUGCAUCGCUUGAAUCCAGGAGAGGUGAGUGGAAUUCCGAGUGUAGAGGUGAAAUUCGUAGAUAUUCGGAAGAACACCAGCGGCGAAGGCGGCUCACUGGACUGGUAUUGACGCUGAGGUGCGAAAGCGUGGGGAGCAAACAGGAUUAGAUACCCCUGUAGUCCCUGUCUCUUAUAC
rnacentral:rRNA from 1 species